GGCGGCGGGUCCGCAUGGACCUGUUGUUAAAGCGGGGGAUUCUUCGGAACCUCGCGCCUAAAGAUGGACCUGCGUUCCAUUAGCUUGUUGGCGGGGUAACGGCCCACCAAGGCUGCGAUGGAUAGCCGACCUGAGAGGGUGAUCGGCCACACUGGGACUGAGAUACGGCCCAGACUCCUACGGGAGGCAGCAGUAGGGAAUUUUGCGCAAUGGCCUAAAGGCUGACGCAGCAACGCCGCGUGACUGAUGAAGCGCUACGGCGUGUAAAGGUCUGUUAGGAGGGAAGAACGGUAUCGACGUGAAUAAUGUCGGUAUGUGACGGUACCUUCAGAGAAAGCACCGGCCAACUCCGUGCCAGCAGCCGCGGUAAUACGGGGGGUGCAAGCGUUGUCCGGAAUCACUGGGCGUAAAGGGUGGGUAGGCUGGUUAGUAAGUCUGACGUUUAAUCCAUUUGCUCAACAAAUGGCUUGCGUUGGAUACUGCUAAUCUUGAGUCGCGCAAAGGAAGGUGGAAUUCCUGGUGUAGCGGUGAAAUGUGUAGAUAUCAGGAAGAACACCGGUAGCGAAGGCGGCCUUCUGGGCGUCGACUGACGCUGAUCCACGAAAGCGUGGGGAGCAAACAGGAUUAGAUACCCUGGUAGUCCACGCUGUAAACUAUGAACACUAGGUGUUGGAGAGCUUACACUCUUCAGUGCCGCAGCAAACGCAAUAAGUGUUCCGCCUGGGAAGUACGAUCGCAAGGUUGAAACUCAAAGGAAUUGACGGGGGCCCGCACAAGCGGUGGAGCAUGUGGUUUAAUUCGAUUCAACGCGAAGAACCUUACCUGGGCUUGAAGUGUAGGUUGUAAAACCCCGAAAGGGGGAUGACCCGCAAGGGAGCCUACAGAGGUGCUGCAUGGUUGUCGUCAGCUCGUGUCGUGAGAUGUUGGGUUAAGUCCCGCAACGAGCGCAACCCUUAUCCCACGUUGCUCGUAGCAAUACGAGGUCUCUUGGGAAACUGCCCCGGAUAACGGGGAGGAAGGUGAGGACGACGUCAAAUCCUCAUGGCCCUUAUGUCCAGGGCUACACACGUACUACAAUGGCCGGUACAGAGGGAAGCUAAGCCGUAAGGUGGAGCAAAUCCCAAAAAGCCGGCCCCAGUUCAGAUUGUGGGCUGCAAUUCGCCCACAUGAAGUAGGAAUCGCUAGUAAUCGCAGAUCAGCAGGCUGCGGUGAAUACGUUCCCGGGCCUUGUACACACCG
rnacentral:rRNA from 1 species